rnacentral:lncRNA from 1 species
AAAUUCAAAUCCCUAUUAGGAUAAAUGAUUGAGUGUUCCUGUAAAGAAUUUUUCCCCUGGUUCAAGCAACCAGAUUUCAUUCCCAGAUGAUCAAAAACGGACUUGAUGAAAUGGAAAAGCACAGAUAGAAACAGUUCCACUGCUCAAAAUUACUCCUGAAGAGAUGAGGACACCAGGAUAUGCCACUGGACCACUGAAGGAAUGAUGAUGGUAUGAAUAAAGUAUUUUUAAUGAGCAGAACCAUUCUUUGCUCUGCUCUGUCCUCACCCCUCAAGAGAAUUUCCCUUAUUAUUAUGAAAACUUUUUAUCUUAAAAGAUAUUACAUGUUAAUGGAACUGUCAUUUAACAAAUGUUUUAUAAGUGUACCAAUCAAGCACAUUGUCGAAAUAAAAGAUAUGAAAUAAGUAUAAA